UACGGAGGGUGCGAGCGUUGUCCGGAAUCACUGGGCGUAAAGGGCGCGUAGGUGGCGACUCAAGUCAACGGUGAAAGCUCGACGCUCAACGUCGAGUCGGCCGUCGAAACUGGGACGCUUGAGCACUGUAGAGGCAGAUGGAAUUCCGGGUGUAGCGGUGGAAUGCGUAGAGAUCCGGAAGAACACCGGUGGCGAAGGCGGUCUGCUGGGCAGUUGCUGACACUGAUGCGCGAAAGCGUGGGGAGCGAACAGG
rnacentral:rRNA from 1 species